AGUGCCAGGAGAGACGGCACACUCCAGAGUGCCGUGUCCUGACGCGCCUUUGAGCAGCCAGCACAGCAGAUCAUCAGACCCGUCUCCAGAGAGCUCUGGUUCCUCCUCCAGAACAGACUGGCUGCUCAGGAGGCCAUAGCAGGACUGUCAGUUGAUCUCUGCCACGUGUGCUCAACAGUCGUGUGCUCAACAGUCGUUGACUUUCCAGAAGAGGCUGGAACAGGGCCCUUGAAGAUGAUUGUGGACACCAGAGGGCCAGGAGUGGACAACAAAACCACAAAGUGACACUAGACCCUGCCUCUUCAGCAUCAUGAAACAGCUUUUUACUGUGCUUAGUCAUUGCCUCAAGCAUGGGAGACUCCAGCAUACACCACCUCUUCUGUCCCUGUGACCAUCUGCUAGUGUCUGGAAUGACUAAUGGCUAGAACUUGUUGCCAACUUCCUGUUACUUUCCCAACGGCUGUGCAAUGAACCUCAUAGGUUAAUUCA
rnacentral:lncRNA from 1 species